rnacentral:rRNA from 1 species
AGAGUUUGAUCCUGGCUCAGGACGAACGCUAGCGGCGUGCCUAAGGUAUGCAAGUCGAACGGGCAGCAGAGCUUGCUCUGCUGUUAGUGGCGAACGGUCGAGUAACACGUAGAUAACCUGCCCUUCAGUGGGGGAUAACAGUGGGAAACUGCUGCUAAUACCGCAUGUGGCGUGGCCAAGCAUUUGGCUAACGCUAAAGGAUUUAUUCGCUGGAGGAUGGGUCUGCGGCCUAUCAGCUAGUUGGUGCGGUAACGGCGCACCAAGGCGACGACGGGUAGCGGGUCUGAGAGGAUGAUCCGCCGGAUGGGGACUGAGACACGGCCCCAACUCCUUCGGGAGGCAGCAAUGAGGAAUCUUGCGCAAUGGGGGAAACCCUGACGCAGCGACGCCGCGUGGGUGAGGAAGUUCUUCGGAAUGUAAAGCCCUUUUGUCCGAGGACGUAAAUUGACGGUGCUCGGCGAUAAGCCCGGCUAACUACGUGCCAGCAGCCGCGGUA